UACGUAGGUGGCAAGCGUUGUCCGGAUUUACUGGGCGUAAGGGGAGCGUAGGCGGACUUUUAAGUGAGAUGUGAAAUACUCGGGCUCAACUUGAGUGCUGCAUUUCAAACUGGAAGUCUAGAGUGCAGGAGAGGAGAAUGGAAUUCCUAGUGUAGCGGUGAAAUGCGUAGAGAUUAGGAAGAACACCAGUGGCGAAGGCGAUUCUCUGGACUGUAACUGACGCUGAGGCUCGAAAGCGUGGGGAGCAAACAGG
rnacentral:rRNA from 1 species